rnacentral:lncRNA from 1 species
GCGGCGGGGCUGGGGCGCGUUCCGGGGCGCCCGGGAGCAGCGCCUCGCCUGGGCUCCGGAAGCCGCGGGGCUCCAGUUCCAGAUGCAGAAGCCAUGGAGUUGAGCUGCAGCAAAGUCCCUCUUUACGGAUCGAACUCAGGACCUUGUGCUUGCCAGGCAGUUGAGGCACCACUGAGCUAAAUUCCCGGCCCUUAUUUUGUAAAUUUCUGAAUUUGUGCUUCUCUCAGUGAGUAUUCUCCAAAUCUCUUCUCUUGUAAUGACAGGAUCUUCACUCUUCUUUGUGUGUGUGUGUGUGUGUGUGUGUGUGUGUGUGUGUGUGGUGCAUGCAUGCAUGUUGAGGGUGGAAUGAGUGAGCAGGUGCAGAUGCUGGUCAGAUGAGGGGGCAGAGGGCACUGCUCCCUGAUUUUUCUCCCCCUUCGGAGGGCCUUCCUGUGGAGCACUGGGCUUGAUGGCUGGAUGGCUGCCCUGAGAUUGGAACGCAGGUGGUUCUGGCUCUGUUCUUUGCCCAGGACAGGUCACUUUACAGAGACUGAAGGCUCUGGAUGCUCCUGAUAGUCGUGGUUCUGGCUGCCAUGUUUAAGGCUGUCAGCUGUCCCACACUGACCUUCAGACAAUACUUAGUGUGACAUAAAUCCAUAGACUUCGAGCGUUAAAUAAUAGCCAGG